GCUAAGUGUAAAACUUGUGGGAAAUUGCUAGCGCAUAAAUAUACUGGAGACCGUAGUGGUACAAGUAGUUUGACUAGGCACAUAAAAACACACCUUAGAGAUAAAGCUAAAUAUUAGAAAUGAAAGCGUAGCAAGAUGGGACAAGUGUAGAUACUGCGGUUAACCCUAGUACUGGUUCAAAUCUAGUUCAACCAGGAAUUAACACUGUGACCGGUGGUAUUUUGUAUUACG
rnacentral:lncRNA from 1 species